rnacentral:rRNA from 1 species
UACAGAGGGUGCAAGCGUUAAUCGGAAUUAUUGGGCGUAAAGGGUGCGUAGGUGGCCUUGUAAGUGUGUCUGUAAAGCCCGUGGCUCAACCACGGGAAUCGGACGCAAACUGCUCGGCUUGAGUCCGCGAGAGGCAGGUGGAAUUCCAGGUGUAGCAGUGAAAUGUAUAGAUAUCUGGAGGAAUACCGGUGGCGAAGGCGACCUGCUGGUGCUGGACUGACACUGAGGCACGAAAGCUGGGGGAGCAAACAGG